CCCGCCUCCCCGGACCGCGGGGCUGAGCGGAAAGGGAGCGCGGGGGGCGCGCGCGUGGAUAGGCUGAGCGCGCCGCGCAAUCACGUGACACCGCACGCGACCCCCGGUAGAACCGUGGUACUUUAAUGAGCCCCGUACAGCGCGCGCCGCCGCAGCGUCUCAGCGCCCGCCCCGCGCGGCCCCUCCUCAGAGGUCGGCGCGAGCGCCCGCCGCCCUCGGCGCGUACUUGGGCAUCAGUUCGUGGAUCCUGCGGAUGAAGUCGGAUUUCUCGGCGCAGCCCUUGCACGCCUCGCCCCAGUCGUCGAGGAUCCGCCGCAGCUCCUUGACGCGCAGCUUGCGCAGGUCGGCGGUGCUCAGGUCGAUCUGUUUGUCUGCGGGGAGAGCAGAGCCGCGCUCAGCACGGAGCGCCGGGGGGUUCCGGCGGCGUCACCGCGCGGCGCGGCGGGCGGCACAGCGCUGAGCUGCAGAGCUCCGCGGCGACCCCGAAAGCCCCCUUCGCCGCAGCGCUGCGGCUGUCCUCCGCGGGACGGAAAGGGCGGUGGGGUCAGCGCGGAGGAAAGGCGGCGGUGACAGCGACGGAGGGCUGGCUGGGAAGCUACGGGGCGUUAGUGCAAGAAACGAGGAGUGCAGCAACCACAGCCCGGCGUGGCUGUGUCCAGGGGAUGUAAGGGCAGAGGGACGGCAGGCAGAAGGCACUUCCGUGGCCGUUCUUCACAUCAGUCUUCUCGGGAGGAGCACAUCAGCACGGAACACGAGCUCGAGGAGGGUGGUGAGAAACAGGACAGGCGACAAAGCAGCGCCCAUCGAUGCCAGCAGCGCCGGCACAGCCCAGCAGCCCUGCCAUGAGCUCAGCAGGCACCAUCGCAGCCCAGGCGUACUGCGUGCUGUCCUCACGGCCGUUAUUCCAACAGGGCUUUGAGCACAGCACUGCUGGCGCCUGGGAGGUCGAGCAGUGGUUCUGCGGGAGCUAAAGGGGUUAGCAGCCAGCAGCCCCACCUGAGCAUCCCCAUACAGCUGUGCAGGAUAUUCACAGACAACAGCCCAGCUUGUGCAACUACCCAGGCUGGUGACCUCCACGACUUCAGCAUGCUUUUACCCACAGUGAUGCAGUAUCCCAGGAAGGUGCAUCCAUUUUCCCCUUCUGGCAACUCACCGUAUUUCAGCUCGCAGAUCUGACUGUCUUUCUUCUUCAGUUUCUCGCAGAUCUUUUCCACGGGGAUGUGGUGACUCAUGGGUUUGGAAACCUCGUUAAUAAUUUUGGUGGCUGCAUCACUUGUGGCCCCAAUGUAAUAGCACUAAAGGGAAGAAAAAAAGCGAGGUGGAAAUGCAUGGAAACGCUCUUCUAAAUGUUCUUCUAUCCAUCUCUUUGCAGUUUGAUGUUUACAGUUAGAGAGCUUUCCAAGGGACUGCCAUAGGAGGGCAAAAGAAAGCCUGACUGUGAGCCAAGGGUCACUUCUCACACUGCUUCCCACUUUCCAGCACUGCCUUGCUGCUGCCUUGUUUUUAACAACUUGAAUUGGAUUACUGCAGCUUUCUUUGUUAGGGGACAAAGACUUUCGGAGGCAUUGCCCCCCUUUGUCUAUGGGUGUCCUUCUGCAGUCCUCUUCUUAGGAGAGCUCACCUGGUUUUACUUUAGGGCAGUUUGGUUUUCCUACAGCUGAACAGCUGAAAAGUGUCAAACAUUUUAACAGUUUAUGUAACACUCCAAAUGCAGGCUGACAGAGAAGUCCCACAGCAAAUAAAAGCUCUGUAAUUCCAAGCCCUUUGGUAACAGGGAGAAAUAAGGUCAGCAGCAAGACGUCUGUUGACAGAUAUAUCUGUAUGUUUAAAGUGAACUUCAUACAACAAGGUCAUACUCCCUGUCUCCUUUGCAACAAUGAAAAAUUACACGACCAGUUGUGGCCACAGAGCCAGGAAGCACAGCCCCCAGGGAGGGACGUCAUACAAACACAGAAGUGCUAGUUUCCCCUUGUUUGCCAAGCGUUCUACAACUUAUUUCCUCCAGAGUCAAUGUUGACGACUACUUACCAACCGGUUCUCUUUGCCUUUUGCCUCUCUGCAGGAUUUCAUGAGCUCCUUUUCAAUACUGGCGGGCGUGAACUCAACAUUGUUGUCCUUUAGACUCUGGUAGAACCUCCCCAGGAAGGUGACACACACCUCGCACUCCCCGUCGCGCAGCGCCCGGCUGCCGGCCGGCAGCAGGAGCAGGGCCAGCGUCGCCCAGAGCCCGUGGGCCGCCCGCAUCCCGCCUCGCUCGGCGCCCGCCACACCGGUACCGGCACCGCCGCCCCCGCGCGCCGCCGGUUCCCCCCCGCCGCUGCCCCCAUUGGCCCGCUCCCCGCCCGGCUUCCACGCCGCCUCCUCCCAUUGGCCAACCCGCGGCCUCCACGGGAGAGUUGGCGGCCGCUGAUUGGAGGAGGCGGCGAGCGGCGGGUUUCCCCGCCUCCCUCGGCCGCCAUUUUUGUUAAGGGAAAGUUGCCCUCGAAGGCUUCGCGCCGGCGGCUCGCGGGCGCCAUCUUGUGGAGGGGCAGAUCCUCACACCUCAGCAAGGGGGGGUGUUCGUGUGUGAGAAUUUGAGACAAAGUGCGAGGGGGGUUUUGCAAGGCCGGUAGUUUGAGGUACACUUCAGGUACACUUCAACGUUACCUCCCUUUUCAGUUCUGCAUGUGGAAACGGCUCAUGGUCAGAGAUGGGGAGCCAUUACAGAGAUGCAGGUGCUGGCUGAACUACUUAAAUUGCUUGUUUUUACACUGAUAACCACCAAAGCUAGGAUUGAGGUUGUUUCUAAGCCCACGGUUUCUAUCGCCAAAGUAUUUGACAUGGGAAAAAAAAAUAGGGGAAACAUAGCAAUGAAUGGGUGAAUUUUGUUUUUGUGAUGGUUUGGGUGGGCUAAUAGAGCAAAGGGAGAAAGUGAGCCAGGUAGGGCUAACAGGAGCUGGAAUACGGUCAGCUCUUGGAUGGUGGUUUGCUAAGAAGCUUGUAAAAAGGGAGAAAGGGCAACAUGAAUUACAGCAGUAAGAAGAAAACCUGUAGAUCUUUGAGAAUUGGGCUAUAGUUUGUAUGUGUGUAUUAAAAAAUUGUGCGUGUGUUUAUCAUUCCAAACACUGUCCGUGCAUUGUCCUAGCAAUGCUAAUGCACCUACAGAUGUGAAUAGGAAAAUAAAAUGAAGUGCUCACUGUAUGCCUAAAGUUCAUUAGCUGUGCAGUGGUCUAAUGAAAUUGCUGUACGACUAAUGGUAUGUAUAGCAGAUAAUGUAAAGUAAACCUGUGUCGGUACCAGUGGUAAAUAUGUGAAUGAAGUCCAGGAAUUCACACGUUCAGAGAAUCCCUUACUUUUGGUUGCCUGCAGUAUGUGACUGUCAAGUCAGUGGCUGAAGAAGCUGAGUGGUUGUUGGUCUGGAAUAUGGUAUUCUUUUCCAGCUAAAUAGAGAUUGGUAGUAAUUAAUACACGAUCACUUAGGUACAGUGUGGUUCUUGUGGUGAGACAGCAUGAAGGUUACUUUAAUGGUUGCAGGGAUGAAGGUAAUCUGCAGGAUUUAGUGUAAGCCUCUUGGAUGCUGAUACUCCUGCUUAAGUGCUAAGGAGUAAACUGCUUGGGGCGUGCGAGGACCCUGCCUGGGUUCAGCUGCCAGGUGGUGGGAGACACAUUGGGAGUGCCUGCCCUUGUUUCAGCUCUGGGGAAGGCCAGCAGUAGGUAAAAGAGAAUACUCUGUAACAUAUUAUUUAUACCCUAUUUGGGGCUUCAUUGCUGGAAAGCAGUGGCCAAACUCUCCCAAAGCUGUAGCUAUUGUAUAGGUACAGUAUGAAGUCACGAGCAGUGAGUUGUGCUACAUUCACACCUGUGAAUGGUUUACACACAGACAGCAAAGAAGCUGGGAUUUGUGACAGCUGGUUCUUUUCAGUUACUCAAAUCCAGCUGCCUGAAUGACACGGACAGGUGCUACAAUCUGAGCCUGGGUUUUCUUAAGCUGGCUCUAGGAAUAAAUGCAUAUUUGUACAGAGGCAAGAGCAGCUGAAUCUUUGUGGACUGGAUUAUCUUAUUUGCUAGAGGUUUGAUUUCUCCUCUUACCAACUUUUGUGUAACUCAGUACCAAAGAAACUUUCUUCCUUGGAUCAGGUGAAGAUUUGGCUGGGCUAUGUACAUUUGAAUGUGAUAGCGUGGCUUAAAGUGUCUGGCUUGCACUCAAAUGCUGCUUCUUUUGGCUUUAAUGGAAAUUUUAACUUAAGGCUGAAGGCUUUUUGUGUUGAACUCUUUUCAUUUCCCACAAUUCAUUAACAGAUGCUUUUAGCUGAAUAAUAAUAAACAUAUAUAUUAAACUGAGAUUUGCUAAGUUGGGUUAGAAGUGACUCAGGGUCUGCUUUAUACAGACAUCCUCCAGGUGCCAGCUAAGCCACGUUUUGGUAUUUCAGAUGUACUACCAUGGACAACUACGUUCUUA
rnacentral:lncRNA from 1 species